AAUUUCCCAUGGCGAACUGCUCAGUAACAUAUGAUCAACUUACCCUAUUGAGAAAGAUAACCUCGGGAAACUGAGGAUAAUAUUUCAUAGUUGAAUUGGCUUGGAAAAGUUUUUCAACAAAAGGGAUAGGGAAAAUGGUCUCUAUCCGCUAUAGGAUAGGAUCGUGUUCGAUUAUGGUAGUUGGUGAGGUAACGGCUCACCAAGCCGAUAAUCGAUAGGGGCCGUGAGAGCGGGAGCCCCGAGAUGGGUACUGAGACAACGACCCAGGCCUUACGAGGCGCAGCAGGUACGAAACCUCCACAAUACACGAAAGUGUGAUGGGGUUACCCAAAGUGUUCAUUAUUGAACUGUGGUAGGAGAGUAAUGUCCCCUACUAGAAAGGAGAGGGCAAGGCUGGUGCCAGCCGCCGCGGUAAAACCAGCUCUUCAAGUGGUCGGGAUAAUUAUUGGGCUUAAAGUGUCCGUAGCCGGUUUGGUAAGUUCCUGGUAAAAUCGGAUAGCUUAACUAUCUGUAUGCUAGGAAUACUGCUAUACUAGAGGGCGGGAGAGGUCUGAGGUACUACAGGGGUAGGGGUGAAAUCUUAUAAUCCUUGUAGGACCACCAGUGGCGAAGGCGUCAGACUGGAACGCGCCUGACGGUGAGGGACGAAAGCCAGGGGAGCGAACCGGAUUAGAUACCCGGGUAGUCCUGGCCGUAAACGAUGCAUACUAGGUGAUGGUACGGCUAUGAGCCAUAUCAGUGCCGUAGGGAAACCGUUAAGUGUGCCGCCUGGGAAGUACGGUCGCAAGGCUAAAACUUAAAGGAAUUGGCGGGGGAGCACCACAAGGGGUGAAGCCUGCGG
rnacentral:rRNA from 1 species